rnacentral:lncRNA from 1 species
UGGGAUGUGUAAAAGAGAUGAGGUUGAUGAGUUAAGAAAUACUGGAGUAGAAAAGUUGUGAUAUAUAGGUCGGAGGUCCAGGUUGGAACUGAUGGAUCAGGGUACUAUGUCAUUGGAUGUAUUAGGUCAUGGAGUUUGUAAGAAUAUGAUAAAGCUAGCAUCUAGAUAGAUGAGGUUUUAAGUAUAUGAAAGCCAAGUAUCCCUAGUACAUAUCCCUAGUGAUACCCCUUAGAGCGGAGUGUGGUG